rnacentral:rRNA from 1 species
GUGCUUAACACAUGCAAGUCGAACGGUGAAGCAGAGCUUGCUCUGUGGAUCAGUGGCGAACGGGUGAGUAACACGUGAGCAACCUGCCCCUGACUCUGGGAUAAGCGCUGGAAACGGCGUCUAAUACUGGAUAUGAGCUGCGAUCGCAUGGUCAGCAGUUGGAAAGAUUUUUCGGUCUGGGAUGGGCUCACGGCCUAUCAGCUUGUUGGUGAGGUAAUGGCUCACCAAGGCGUCGACGGGUAGCCGGCCUGAGAGGGUGACCGGCCACACUGGGACUGAGACACGGCCCAGACUCCUACGGGAGGCAGCAGUGGGGAAUAUUGCACAAUGGGCGAAAGCCUGAUGCACCAACGCCGCGUGAGGGAUGACGGCCUUCGGGUUGUAAACCUCUUUUAGCAGGGAAGAAGCGAAAGUGACGGUACCUGCAGAAAAAGCGCCGGCUAACUACGUGCCAGCAGCCGCGGUAAUACGUAGGGCGCAAGCGUUAUCCGGAAUUAUUGGGCGUAAAGAGCUCGUAGGCGGUUUGUCGCGUCUGCUGUGAAAUCCCGAGGCUCAACCUCGGGUCUGCAGUGGGUACGGGCAGACUAGAGUGCGGUAGGGGAGAUUGGAAUUCCUGGUGUAGCGGUGGAAUGCGCAGAUAUCACGAGGAACACCGAUGGCGAAGGCAGAUCUCUGGGCCGUUACUGACGCUGAGGAGCGAAAGGGUGGGGAGCAAAC